AAGGUUGUUAAAAUCGCGAUCCGGAUCGUAGGAUCGUACGAUCCUACGAUCCACUUUUGGAGAAUCAAUCUAGAUCGCAUGAUGAAUCGUAUUUUGCUCAGGAUCAGAACAGGAUCGUUAGGAUCGGUCAUGGGAUCGUAGGAUCGUAUUUGGAUCGCGAUCCUAUACGAUCCUACUUUUGGCCUUUUACUGAUAUUUUUAUUACAGGUUUGAUGCACCUAAUCUCUUUUCUAAAGACCCACGACAUAAGAUUAGGGCAAAAUAUUGGGGGAAAGUUGGUCACGAGAGCUGAGCAGCCUCCAUCUGGCCUCCAUCCAGCCUCUAUCCAGUCCAGAUUCCAGCUCCAGAUACCACCAAGGAAAACUGCGCAGAUACCAGUGUACCACCAAGGAAAAGUGCAGCUUCAUUUCAUACAGGUUUGUGAAUUGAGUUAACAAUGUCUGCCUCUGGUUCUGGAAGAGAGAGGAAGAGGAAAAAUGUUGCGGGUAACCGAACGGAUCCUGGUUGGGAACAUGGAAUUGAAAUAGAUGCUGCAACCAAAAAGGUACAAUGCAAGUAUUGUAAUGUGACUCGAUCGGGAGGUAUAUAUAGAUUAAAACAUCAUUUAGCUUGUACUCAUCAAAAUGUUGAGCCAUGUCCUCAAGUCCUAGAAGAUGUUAGAGGAAAGUUCAUGAGUCUUUUAAGAACUCAAACAUUAGAGUCUCAAAAUAAAAAGAGAAAGAUGUUUGAUGUUGGUGAUGAUUCUGAAGAGGAGGUGGAACUUUUAUCAUGUCAUCAUCAAAACAAACAAAAACAGGUGGGUGCCAUGGAUAAAUUUGUGAUGAAGAAAUCUGGACGUCAAAAUCAAAAAACUCUCAAUCAAAUGUUUAAGAAAGAAGAGAGAGAUGAUGUUUGUCAAACCAUAGCUCGUUUUUUUUACACUAGUGCUAUUCCUUUUAAUUGUGUCAACAACCCUAUAUUUCCACUCAUGGUUAAGAAGAUUGGGGAUUAUGGAAAAGGACUUGUGCCACCAUCUUACCAUGAAAUUAGGGUGACAUUUUUUAAAAAAGAAGUGCA